rnacentral:rRNA from 1 species
CGGACGGGUGCGUAACACGUGGGCAACUUGCCCUCCAGUGGGGGAUAACCCGCCGAAAGGCGGGCUAAUACCGCAUAAUAUUUUUGCUGCUUCGGCGGCGAAAAUCAAAGCCCGCAAGGGCGCAGGAGGAGGGGCCCGCGGCCGAUUAGCUUGUUGGCGAGGUAACGGCUCACCAAGGCAAUGAUCGGUAGCCGGUCUGAGAGGAUGGCCGGCCACACUGGAACUGAGACACGGUCCAG